rnacentral:lncRNA from 1 species
UCGAUUCAAAUUACCAAUAUAUUCAAAACAUAAGUUACAAACCCUAACAACAGGCGAAAAUUACAACGAAAGUUACAAGAAGGGUAAAGUGACAGUAAAAAAGGUGGGUGAAAGUAGUAGAGGAAAGAAGAGGGGAAAGAAAAGGCAUUCCAGGUGGCCCGGGGGAUUACGGCACCACAUUAACAGAUGAUGAGGAAGAAACGAACCCCGGACCACGUUCCCGCAGAGGCCUGAGGACAGGCGAGCAACCACCCGAAGACGACCCCAUCGGCCGAAGAGGCCUGAGAACGGGAGAGGACCGCCCAGAGGUGGACCUAACGGUUCGAUUUCGGAGACCUCGACAGGAAAUGACGUAAGUCAUUAGCCGGAAGGGACGAAGACCCACGGGAACCACGGUGGCCACACGACUGACGACGACGACCGAAACUUUCGACCGGAGCGAAAGUAGACGCGACGUGCAGAGAGCAGCAGAAGCUCGACGUCACAGUGGUAGUAGCGCUUACGGCCCCCAACCAGAGAUUUCAGUCUUUAUCCCCGUACCCGAAAUGGUCGAGGAAGACCGGGUCGGGAAAGUAAGGGAUAUUAGGAAAAUCCUACCGGUGAAUCUCACCCAUACCUCUGAUCUCACCCUUAAUUUUUAUUCGUUUAUUUUAUUAUAAAAA